GACGAACGCUGGCGGCGUGCUUAACACAUGCAAGUCGAACGGAAAGACCCUGCUUUUGUGGGGUGCUCGAGUGGCGAACGGGUGAGUAACACGUGAGUAACCUGCCCUUGACUUUGGGAUAACUUCAGGAAACAGGGGCUAAUACCGGAUAGGAGCUCCUGCUGCGUGGUGGGGGUUGGAAAGAUUCGGCGGUUGGGGAUGGACUCGCGGCUUAUCCGCUUGUUGGUGGGGUAGUGGCUUACCAAGGCUUUGACGGGUAGCCGGCCUGGGAGGGUGACCGGCCACAUUGGGACUGAGAUACGGCCCAGACUCCUACGGGAGGCAGCGGUGGGGAAUAUUGCACAGUGGGCGGAAGCCUGAUGCAGCAACGCCGCGUGCGGGAUGACGGCCUUCGGGUUGUAAACCGCUUUCGCCUGUGACGAAGCGUGAGUGACGGUAAUGGGUAAAGAAGCACCGGCUAACUACGUG
rnacentral:rRNA from 1 species